AGAACGAACGCUGGCGGCGUGCUUAACACAUGCAAGUCGAGCGGAAAGGCCCUUCGGGGUACUCGAGCGGCGAACGGGUGAGUAACACGUGAGCAACCUGCCCUUGGCUCUGGGAUAGCCUCCGGAAACGGGGAUUAAUACCGGACAUUCACUUUCUCCUGCAUGGGGGUUGGUGGAAAGUUUUUCGGCCAGGGAGGGGCUCGCGGCCUAUCAGCUUGUUGGCGGGGUAACGGCCCACCAAGGCGACGACGGGUAG
rnacentral:rRNA from 1 species